rnacentral:rRNA from 1 species
AACGUAGGUUCCGAGCGUUAUCCGGAUUUACUGGGCGUAAAGCGCGUUCAGGCGGUUUGGCAAGUCGGGCAUGAAAUCUCUCGGCUCAACCGGGAGAGGUUGUCCGAUACUGCUGGACUUGAGGGCAGUAGAGGGUGGUGGAAUUCCGGGUGUAGUGGUGAAAUGCGUAGAUAUCUGGAGGAACACCGGUGGCGAAGGCGGCAUCCUGGACCAUGACUGACGCUGAUGAGCGAAAGCCAGGGGAGCAAACGGG